UCUUAGGAGCUAUAAUAGUUAACCAAAUUAUAUUUUGGAGGAAAGUCCGGGGCUUAAAAUUUAAACCUAGGAUGGACGCCCCGUACCUCAGGUACGGAGUGAAUUCGCCCUGGUAUUAUAAAAUUUGAUAAAUCAUAAUGUAAAAACAUCUAAUGAGAAUUAGGGUAAUAGAAAGAAAUACACCAUUUAUUUUAUAUUACUGAUAUAAAAUAAAUGGUUUCGGCGGGCCCUUCUAUCAGUGUGCUUAACCGGUACCGCGCGCUCAUCUUAGCGCGCGGCGAUGGUAGAGUAAUUUAACCUAUGAGAAGCCUUUUAUUUAAUAAAUAUUAUUUAUUGAAUAUAGAUACAUUAACUUAAUAACAGAAUCCGGCUUAUUUAUCUCUAAGA
rnacentral:misc_RNA from 1 species